UGGAAACACUGUCAGGACAGGUUUUGAUUGGUGGGCUUCAAGCAUUUAUGGUACAAUUCUAAAUAUUUGUGACAGGGUUCUAAACAUUUAUGAUGAAGUGGGGAAGGAAUUUUAACACUGGAACUUCCUGAAUGGCAGACCCCUGGCUUCUGAUAAGAGUCUGACUUUUAAGUUGCAGUCAUGUCCUGGUCCUUUGGUUCUUGGGGGAGGAGAAUCUUUGGUUCCGCAGUCAUUUCACGUCAAGAUUUCUUCUUCUGCACAAUGCUCUGGCUCCGUGACUUCGCACAUUUUCUGAAAGGCAUCAGGAUGAGGAGGAGCUGGCAGACGAAAAAGAGGGGAAGAACAUGUGAAAAUACUUGGAGGAAGGAGAAAGAGCAUGGCAUGUGCUAGGAUUAACACUACAGACAAUUCAGAUCCUGGGCUCCUGGGAAUCCUAUUAAAACACACCAGAGUAAGUCAUUAACGAUCUGCCUGCAGAAAAGCGAAGCUGUGCCUCUCCUGUCUGGGACCCUCUUUUGUGAUAGAGCCUUGUCCAAUGGUGUGGAAUGAUGUGCCAAAACUUGGAAGAAAAUUGAGUUCUCCCACAGGAACUCUGGGCUGAUGGGGCAGUUCACGGUCCUGAAUGAUGUCUCCACAGUGGGGAACAGCUGGGACACUGUCUCUUCCCAACACUUCCACUGGGCUGCAGGAUGGGGGAUCAUGAUUAAACCUGGAUCAGUGGAAGAUGGUGGCAGUCCUUACGUGGCUACUCAGCACCUGAUCUGUAGAGAUAAUCAAGAUAAGUGACUUUAGGCAAGAUACAUGAGGUGGGGAGGUGAAGAAAUGACGCUCCUGCCUCUGCAGCUAUGAAGGAAGGCCAGGUAUAUCUGUCAUGGUCGUCAGCCACCUCCUGCGGAGGGAGUUCAGAGGACAAGGGAGGAACCUAAGCCUGCACGUCAGUUUUUCAUGUUAGCUGGCAGCGUUCCUGAGCAGGACUGGGAUCACACGCCAGUGCAAGCGGAGCACCUGGCUGAGAACACUGUGCAGUGGUGACAGAAGGGAAGUAUUUGGGAAAAUGAGUUGCAGACUUCAAGGAGACAUACCCUAUACCUGAGCCAUGAACAAGGCUUCUGGCCCCAGAGGCCUUCAACCCAGCAAGGGAGGUCUGGAGGGAGCUCUCCAUUUGAAUCUGGCACAGUGACACAGUGAUCCCUUCACCUCCCUCAAUGGGAACAUUAGAGUGGAUAGUCUCUUCUGGUCCUCUCUCUGGUUAUCAGGCAUAAAGGGUGGGGGGGUCGUGAUUGGCUCUGGAUGUGCCCAGAGGUCUCUUGGCUGUCCUCAGAGCUCUGCCAGGUGUGCCUUAAGUUAAAGAGAGCACAGAACGUGAACUCAUGGGGUGGGGCCACCUGGGGCCUCCUGGAUCAGCCCUUGCCGAUGCUGCAGAAUGAGGUGACUCAGCUCUGAGACCUGCUGAGUCAGAGAUGACUAUCUUUGCAGGUCCCUGUAACAAGUGCAGCAAGAGACACAAAGAGACUGAAUUCUGUUUCUAUUGAUCCCUCCUCCACUCCCCCAUCCUUUCUCUUUCCCCUCCAGCUACCUCCCAAAUCGCGCUUUCUCAGACCCUGCCUCCCCUCUACAGAGAUGCCCACUGGCUCGACUGUGUUCUGGAGUUGUGCAUAUGCCAGCCCUCUGCGUGGUCCAGUGCCGAUCUAGACAAGCGUCCGCACAUGGUUGUGUAUAGUGUUCACCCUGGUGUGCGUGUGAAUACGUGUGUGGGUGUGAUCUAGAUAUAUAGGUAUCGAGGACCUAAACGAAAAUCGGAAAGCCAAACCUAAAGGAAACGUGCUGGUUUGCUGAACUAACGCAAAUGUGAACAUUAAUCUUUUCUUGAACCAAAGAGUAGAAGAAAAUGGCUUGGUUCAAUUUAAGCAUGGCGUGCUAAGCGGUGCAUAGGUCUGCACCUGAGAUCCGAACUGGGGAGCCCAGUCCACUGAAGCAGAGUGCAUGAACUUAUCGUUGAGCCACCAGUGUGAACCUGGAAAGUAGAGUAAAGAAGGAGGUCAGAAGGAUAUUCUCAUGUGGGCUGAAGGCUGGAUCAAACACAUCCAGAAGAUUCUCGUAGCUUUGUCCGUGUUCUUCAUGUGUUCCUGCCCAUCCAAUCGAAGUCCUUUGGCUCAGGGUUACCCGCGGUCAACAGCAGUCCGUGGUCCAGGUGAUCCUCCUCCUGAAGUAUCCUCAGAAGUAUCCUAAUGCUAUGUCCCAAUGCCAGCAUCAUUCGCCUCACUUCAUCUCGUCACAUAAGCCUUGUGUCAUCUCACAUCCUCACAAGAAGGACACUGCUCUGUCGGAAAUCAGGACGUCCUCAGCUGAUAAAGGGGAUCAGAAUAUGCCACUCCAAAAUAUGCUACUUUGGCUUAAGGAUUAUUUUGAGCUGAAGGCAAUUAAGAAAUAGCAGACACAGAAGACUCUCCAUCCUCAUCCUUCCUGCCUAAAAGCAGGGCUCACAUUUCCCUUUGUAAAAGUGGCAUAAAUUUCCGUUUGUAAAGGUGUCUGUCUCUCCAGCACCAGGAAGAGACCACUUUUAAUCACCGGAGAUGACUCUUAUCACUGAGACAGCACAGACUUGAGUCUGCAGAACAAACUUGACACAACAACUUUCAUCUACCAUACCUUUUCUACUCACCUUAGAAUUUACUGCCUCUAGAAGCCCAAACAACCCCCCCCCCUUUCCUUUGUUUAAUCACUUCUCCACAGUUUAUCUCCGGUUGUUAAAAAGGUACAUAUGCCCUUGGGUUGACCUCCUCUUUGGGUUUUCACUUUUUCUGUGAAGCUUUCAUGUGCAGGCAAAAUAAAACUUUCUCCUGUUAAUCUGUCUUUUGUCGGUUUAAUUCA
rnacentral:lncRNA from 1 species